rnacentral:rRNA from 1 species
AUGAGUUGCCAGAUUUACGGGCAUGAGUUGCCAGAUGUGCGAUACAAGUUGCCAGAUCUGCAGUUUUUUGAGCUUGGAACUUGUGUGGUUCGCCCUUUUUUCACAAAACUUGCAUAA